rnacentral:rRNA from 1 species
AACGAACGCUGGCGGCAGGCUUAACACAUGCAAGUCGAACGAUGUAGCAAUACAUAGUGGCGCACGGGUGAGUAACGCGUGGGAAUAUACCAAUCAGUGGGAAUAACUUUGGGAAACUAAAGCUAAUACCGCAUACGCCCGAGAGGGGAAAGAUUUAUCGCUGAUUGAUUAGCCCGCGUGAGAUUAGGUAGUUGGUGGGGUAAUGGCCUACCAAGCCUACGAUCUCUAGCUGGUCUGAGAGGAUGAUCAGCCACACUGGAACUGAGACACGGUCCAGACUCCUACGGGAGGCAGCAGUGGGGAAUAUUGGGCAAUGGAGGAAACUCUGACCCAGCCAUGCCGCGUGAAUGAUGAAGGCCUUAGGGUUGUAAAGUUCUUUCGCCGAUGAAGAUAAUGACGGUAGUCGGAGAAGAAGCCCCGGCUAACUUCGUGCCAGCAGCCGCGGUAAU